UACGGGGGGGCAAGCGUUGUUCGGAAUUACUGGGCGUAAAGGGCUCGUAGGCGGCCAACUAAGUCAGACGUGAAAUCCCUCGGCUUAACCGGGGAACUGCGUCUGAUACUGGAUGGCUUGAGAUUGGGAGAGGGAUGCGGAAUUCCGGGUGUAGUGGUGAAAUGCGUAGAGAUCCGGAGGAACACCAGUGGCGAAGGCGACACGCUGGGCCGUACCUGACGCUAAAGCGCGACAGCAUGGGGAGCAAACGGGG
rnacentral:rRNA from 1 species